rnacentral:snRNA from 1 species
GGAUGUGAGGGCUAUCUGGCUGCAACAUCUGUCACCCCAUUGAUUGCCAGGGUUGAUUCGGCUCAUCUGGCUGGUUAGGCGGGUGUCCCCUUCUUCCCUCACUGCUCCAUGUGCGUCCCUCCUGAAGCUGUGCACUCUGUCGAAGAGGAUGGCCUUCCCCAAAUAGAGAGGUCAUCAGUCAAGGGUAUAGGAGUAGCUGCGCUCCCCUGCUAGAACCUCCAAACAAGCUCUCAAAUCGGGAACCUCAGGCAUGAAAGUCUGAUAUUCUACCCAAUGAACUAUCUCCCUAGACAUAAGAU